CCCCUCCCCGUGCAUAUCUGCACACACGCUCCCAGGGAGCCCCGGCGGACAGACGCGAGAAAACAGAGGGGCCCCGAGCGCCUACGUGGAGCGCGCACACACUGAUGCCACGCUUUCCACGGUGGGAAGGAAAUGAAGCGCGCAGUGGCCAGAGCCCGGCGGAGAGCAACAGACCACUGGAGCAGGCUGCCCAGAUAGGUUGUGGAGUCUCCUACUUGGAGAUAUUCAAGACCCACCUGGACACCUUCCUUUGCAACCUAUGAACUAGUUUUCCACUCGUGAUGCUCAAAGUGGCAAAAAUAUUAUAGAAGAAAACUAUUGGAUUGUCAAGUUGUAUUAUAAAUACAAGACCUGGAUGCAAUGGACUCAUGCAUAAUCUUUCUGUGUAAGACAUUUGCCAUCUGCCUACCACUCCCAUCUUGAGUAGAGAAGGCUGCUGGAAGACACGAUACAGGCCUCAAAUAUGUCAAAGAUUCUUCAUCAAGGAAAGAAAAAAGCAUUUUUCUGCUUGCCAUGUGUAAGAUCAGAAAUGAUGAGAUGUAAUUGUUCAAGAUGCAUUUAAGUGCGAAAUUGGGAAAAAAUGUCUAAUGGUAAAUACUGCAGAAAGACAGAAACAAAUGACUAAGGAAGGUGUGCAGUGUCUGUAAUGAGAAAUUCUUUAGCAACGCUGAGAAACAUCUAUCAUGAAUAGGUUAUAAUCCUAUCCUGCCUUUUUAAGGGGAAAAGGAGAGCAAAUUAAAUGUUGUUCGAAGAUCUUUUUUCCAUUUUCCAUGAUUCUAUGAUUAUUUUUCUUUUAUCUGUGGCUCCUGCAAGACUUUUCCCCUGGUCACCUACCAACUCCCAUGGAGCCAGGCAGCCUGACCAGGACCAUGUUUCAGAUAACUUGAAGAACUCAGUGAUCGCAAACACAGCUGCCUUUUCUCCAGCUCUCCAUGUCCCUCCAGCCGGAAUUGCUCCAGAGGGAGAGUAGGUGCAGUGCAGCUUGGACAGGUAGCAGCCCACAUUUACUGAGGGACCUCUGUUUUUCCAGAGUCGUAGAGCAAAUCAUCACCAUUAAUCUGAGGUGUGUCCCUCUCACCUUCCCUGAUGGCAAAUCCUACAGGUGGAAGAGAUUAAUAAUAUGCAAAGCAGGAAUGGUCACAGAGUCAGAGUUCAGAAAGCUGAAAGAAUCAAUCUACUGGUAUAGGUGUGUGUGCACAGAAAUGAAGAUAUUGACAUGAGAAAAUAACAGUGGAAUCAGAAGAAACAAGAAAUGGUAUACUGACAAAAGUAAUGUUUUUGUUAUUGUUAGAUGUUUUAAUCUUUGUGCUUCAGGCCUCAUUUCAUAUUUCGUACUGCAAAAUGAAAAACAAACAUAUGAAAGAAGAGAAUUGUGUUCUUUUCCUUUUGAGCUGCUAUUUAAAUGAGUUCCUAUUACCGUUUGUAAGAACUACAUUUUAGGGAAUGUAUUAAAUCCCAACAAGUAAACAAAUACAUCUUAAAUCUAAUCAUUACAAGAUUAUUCCUGAUAUUUAUAAUACCCUGGCCUUUAAGUUUUCUUUUAGAACAGCUGCAGGGCUUUUGGACAAGAUGAGUAGCUCUUAAUCGAACGGCUGAAAAACUCCCAAGAAGUGAUUUGUCAUCUUAGGCAAGGCAUUUUUAAAAUAACCCAAUGGCACAUGAAACUAGGCUUAAAUGCCAUUAUGAUAAAAACCACUUAAGCUACUGAUAAUCAUCCUAUGUGAAUUGGCACUCUAUAUGCUUACAGACAAAUCUGGACAUGCUUCAAUUACCUUUUCAGCAUAGCUCUGAAUACUAUUAAUACUAUGAAAAAUGUUAUAUAUGUAAAUUACAAAAAUACCACAGUAAGUAAAAAGUGUAUGUUCAUCAUUGUAAUUAGUGGCUUGUGCCAAGAAAGCAUCUUGUGAAAGCAGAUAAUUGACUUUUUUAAAUUAGAGGUGAAAGAAACCUGCAAGAUCAUUUUAUUAACCGUGACAAACUUGGCAUGCUGCUAUUACAUUUUAUCUAGAAAGAAAUGCUAAUUCACUGAUUCAUAACAGAUACCUCGUUUCAGUGUUCUUUUCUAUUUAGUAAUGCUGAUGAGUUCUUUGAGUUGAUCACCUGUAAAUUGCUCUUGUGAAGUAGUCUUACCCCUAAUUAUUAUUAUAGGGCUACCUAUAUUACCUUUUUUAUCAAGAUGCUGGUCUUUGGGCUGAUGAAGAAGGAAGUUCUUACACAUUUAGGUUCCAGAAGUCUGGAUAAUACUAGUUUUGCUUCCAGGCUCUUAAUGUAAUGCUGAAUAUGUCUGAAUUUUAUUGAAAUUCUCCGUUCUGAAGUGUAACAAAUACAUCUUCACUGACUUUCACUGAAGAAUCAACGAGACUAAUUCAGGUGCAGAGAAUUUCCACAGAGGCCUUCAAAGAUCUCUCCCCAUUGGCUAUAUGGAGUCUUCACUGAAUAAAAGCUGGUAAAAGCUGCAUUUUCAUCUUCAAGAGACAUCUACUGUUGAAAUCUUUCUAAGCCUAGCCAAGUUUAUUUUCUGCCUUAUCACACUUGAAUAUUUUUUACCAAAGGAAAAACAAAAGAAGGCACUUAACAUGCUUGUGACCUAAAUAUUUUACUAUAGGAAGAUUGCAUUCACUUUACACCUGGGCAGCCAGGCUUUGUUCUUUGUGGCACUGUAUGUCCAAACCACCUCUCCAAUGGAAGCAGAGCUUAUUAUUCUUCAGUAUUUUUAAAGUCUCAUACCUAGUGCUUUUCAAAGUAAUGGAAUCUGAACUGGAGUCAAAAGAUGUGAGUACUCAGUAUAGUUGUCAUUUACUUGAACAUUCCUUAAAGGUAUAUUUAAAUGAUCAUAGGUUGUGCAAGUUCAGAUAAUUCAUUUUCUAGUGAAGCAAAUACUGACUUCAAAAAUUUGCUAUGUCUGAAAUGAUAUGCUGCUACCGUUAGAUAAGUACUUCCAAAGCAUGAAGAUAAUGACGUGUUGUGUGCCCAAGUGUGUUAAGAGUGGUUAAAAGGCAAAGUCUUCUGGGAUAGCCCUGGGGACCUGAAGGGGUGGGGGGAAUCUGAUGCGUUUUGUCCACAACGUCUAAUAAGGAAGAGCCAUGUUUAUCCCUCGCACUUCUGCCUGAGAGGGCUAGCUGGCACAGUGAUACUAGAGAGCAUGUUGAUAAUUUAAGUGACAUGGACCACCAGUAGUCUAAUGCUCAGUUUUUAUUCCUGGCCCAGUUCUAUUAGGCAGCUUAGAAAUAGCCCUUUGAACCCAUGCUUUAGUGAUAUGUUCAUCUGCUGAAGAAAAUAUGUUCUCACUUCUUUCAUGUUUAUUUGGAGGCUAAAGUAUAAAGUCUGCCUGGCUGUGGUGUUUGAACAAGAGAUAAUGUAUGGAGUCCUAGAAAAAAUGGUGUAUCUUUUUGUCUCAAAAUUUUAUGAUUCUCUUUCUUCAGAAGAGGAUAUCCUGUCCAUAGCACACUUGCAUUCAUGAAGAAACCCAAACAUGGGAGACUUCUGUGAUACUCUUUGGUCUCUGCAAGACAUCAGAGUUAGCAUAAGUUCCUUCACCAAUUCUUUGACAGAUACUCUAAUUUAAACUGGAAUUUUCCUAUCCGUAUGUCGUAAAGAACACAAGUGAGUCAAGAAAUCAGUUGUAUACCUUGUAAUAACUUCCUCAAAAACCUUAUUCCUAUACUAGAAGACAUUAUUUCUUCUUGUAUUACCAAACAUUAACUUAUAACUAGCUUUCCAAGUCAUUAUGUAUUUAAGUAGACAAGAUACACGAUAAGGGAUAAUUAUGAGUGAUGAUACAGACACCAGCUAGAUGAACAUAAACAAACAUGAUUAAAUAUGUAUUUAUUUUUUAUAAGUUUUUACUAGAGCUACCAAUAUCUGCAGAAACUAUUUCUGAACAAGACUGAAUCAUUUUUGACUUUUCUGUGACUCGGUUGUGUUAGUUGAUAUCUAUGUCAGUGUGGCUGUUGGCUUCUCUUGAUUGUUAUAUAUUCAAGCUUGUCAUCAUCAGAAGAAUCAACAAGUGACCCAAUUCAGCUUGGUUUUCACCUUUCACCCACGUAAAAUUUCAAAAGGAGACUCAUUGUUUCUGCAUGUGUCGUAACCCUGUAAUUAUGAAGAAAUUCAGUAGCAAAUUACUUCCAUGGCUUUUCCCCUCCAUUCUCUGCAGUUGAAAGCAUUCUUUCAAGAGACAUUAACUAGUCUCAAUUUCCCUGUUCUUCUGAGAAUAGCACGCUAACAAAAAUAUACACUAAAUAUUUUCCUGAGAGAGAAAAUCUAGUGAAGUCAGUGGAAAUAAAUCUCUGCUCAUUAUCAGUUACAAUUUGACAUGCAUUCCUCUUAUAGCUCAGCUCCUCAUUUACGUUGGAGCGGUACACACUGGGGAGCAUCUCACAAUACUGAAGAAGUUUCUGUGUGAACAAAAUGUGUUUAAUAAUUUUUUUUUCUAGGUUCCUAGAUCUGGGCAGUCAUAGGCAUCAUCAUUAUUGCAGUACGGGAAAAAAAAUAAUGGAGCAAGUUACAGAAUGUGUCAACUUCUGACCUGUGAAAUAAAUGAUGCAAUAAAAAGCUAUCAGCUGGAUGCCAGUCUUCACCAUAUUUUAUCAACCACCAAAACAGAUUAACAUAGUUAAUAAGUUAGGAAAUACUGUCACUGGAUAUGUAUUUUACAAUAUGGUUAUUUCUGUAAUAUAUAUAGGAAAGGCUUCUGCCCAGCAUCUCAAGUGACAACAGUUACACUGUGUAGUGGACUUGUAAUAUUUGUCAUCUGCCUGAGUCAAGUAGCUUAGUUUUGAAUGUAUAAUCAAUAUGACAUUUUGGAAGGCUGCUUUUAUUUGCAGCAUGUAUUCCUAUGCUUGCCAGCUCUGAAAGUAAAAGGCAACCUGACAGUACUUUAACUAAUGAGAUCUUUGAUCUGAAAAUAUAUAAAACAACCUUCUUCCCCAAUUUUUGGUAAAUUUGUCUGAAUACCAUGAAUUGUGUAUCUAAGAAACAGGCUUCAAGCAAUUCCUUUGAGUUGACAACAACCUAUUUCUACUAACAGGGUGCAAGCAAGUUAGACAAAUGCUGGAAAACUGAGUUGACAGCUGAUGUUCCCCUUUCCACUGGCCCAUGAUUUCAAGCCAUUUUACAUCGGGGCAGUAAAAUAAUCUAGAACCUGACACUGUCAGUGGGUGAAUUAAACCUACAAAUAUUGGGCUAGAGACUUCGUGUUGAGUUCUCAUUACAACUCUGAAAUCAUUUUUUCAGAGUUUUUUCAUGUCAAAGGAAUAGCACCAGAGGAAAGAAUUGGCAUAAACAAGCCCUGUUGCACGUUAUUGAAUAGGCUGUGUACACGUUUGGUUAAAAGUUAACAUUGCUCUUUUUCUUUCCUCUGGAAGACCUUGAAUAACCACAGCUUUUAGCAAAGCUUGGCAUUGUCUUAGGUAACAGAGCUGAGGUUUAAAAUUCUUGCUAUACUGCUGCCAAAAAACAAAAACAAAAGACAACAACAACAACAACAAAAACUUGCUUUUGAGAGAGAAACUUUUAAAGUAAUUUUUUUGAUG
ensembl:lncRNA